GGACUACAGGGGUAUCUAAUCCUGUUUGCUCCCCUAGCUUUCGUCCCUCAGCGUCAGUUGCGAUCCAGCGAGCCGCUUUCGCCUCGGAUGUUCCUGCGGAUAUCUACGCAUUUCACCGCUACACCCGCAAUUCCACUCGCCUCUCUCGCACUCUAGCACAGCAGUUUCGGGAGCAGCCUCUGAGUUAAGCCCAGAGAUUUCACUUCCGACUUGCCACACCGCCUACGGACCCUUUACGCCCAGUAAUUCCGAGCAACGCUGGCCCCCUACGUUUUACCGCGGCUGCUGGCAC
rnacentral:rRNA from 1 species